rnacentral:rRNA from 1 species
AUUGAACGCUAGCGGGAUGAUUUACACAUGCAAGUAGAACGAGGGGCGGACGGGUGAGUAAUAUAUAGGAACGUGCCCAGUAGCGGGGGAUAACUACUCGAAAGAGUGGCUAAUACCGCCUACUUUUGGAGCGGCCGCUCUCGGCUUAGCUAGUUGGUGGGGUAAAGGCUCACCAAGGCAACGAUCCGUAGCUGGUUUGAGAGGACGAACAGCCACACUGGGACUGAGACACGGCCCAGACUGCGACGUGAGGCAGCAGUGGGGAAUUUUGGACGAUGGGGGAAACCCGGAUCCAGCCAUCCCGCGUGUAUGAGAAGGCCUUCGGGUUGUAAAGUACUUUUGGCAGAGAAGCGGUAUCUGCAGAAUAAGCACCGGCUAACUACGUGCCAGCAGCCGCGGUAAUAC